rnacentral:lncRNA from 1 species
CACAUUUUCUUUGAAAUAUUCAAAAUAUAUUCAAGUUAUUUUCAAAACUGAAGCUCCAAAUGGCCAUUUGUCUUAUAAUGUUAUUUUCUAAUGAAAAUCUUGGCCAUGACAGUGAGUGGUAUUUUAUUGAGGUGUAUGUGUGGUAUGUUCUAGUUGGUAUCACCUAAGUUCAGAAAAGGUGUUGAACACAUCUCUGAAUUUUGCCUGCCAUCUAAUGUAUAUAAAUCUGCUUUUAAUCCCCAAAAAGAAUAUUCAUACUUUGUUUUGUUAGAAAAUUAUCAAAAGUUGGUUGUAGAAAUUCUGUUUAUGAGAACUGUCUAAAACUUGCAAAUCAUCUAUUCCCUUAGACACUUAACUUUAUAUUUAAAUAAUGGACCGCUAAAGUUUGGAAUAGAAUUUUGUUUGCUAAACCAUCCCUUGGGGCUAUAUCUGUAUUAAAUUUGAGAAGGUUUAAUUUUUAGAAAAUCUAACAAGUUUUUACCAUAAGCAUGUUGUCAGAUUUUGCGUAUGAUAUCCCAGUGUCCUUUUUAUGAGGACCAGGAGAGAAGCUUCUUUGAGACUUCAUAUCACAAAUAGCUGGAAUUAACCUAAGAAACUAGUAUCUUUUUACUGUGGGACACUAUGGAACUUACAACUACACUUUUCGCUAUUGUUUGACUGCUAGAAAGAAAAAAGUCAAAUCUGCAAGCCAGUUCUGGCAAAAUUCUUAGAGCAGAUAUUUUUGAUACAAUUUUUACCUCCAACUUUGCUUUCCUCUGUCCUACCCCCAUUCAUCUUCCUCCCUUAUUCACCAUCAAGUUCAAAAUGUGUAUUUUUUGUCAGCUCCUGCUAAUUCUGUCUGGAGUGAGCUGGGAGGUAAUUAACUAGUUAAUAAAUUAAUUACUAGCUACAUUGAGCAACAUGCUUUUUUCUCCUCUUCAGUCCAGUGCUUGCUUUUAUUUACUCCUCUCAUCUAUUCAUGUCUUCUUGUAAUAUGGCUACAGCUUGCCCACCUGCUUCGGCGUGUCUGUCAGGACAAUCUGAUGGGAGUGACCAGUCCCACAAAGCCUGGAACUAGAAGCUGCUGGGCCCUUUCCCAAUGUGGUCACCAACUCAGUUAUCCUUUCUUGAAAGAACAACAUUGAAAUAAAUCCUCAAGGAACAGAGAGAGCCAGUUAACAAGUGAGGUUCCUAGGUGAGGCUGAAGCUGCUGAUUCUGGCACCAUAACUGGAGAAAUACUGGCUGUGAUCCAACAGAGUACUGCAAGUAAAUAAAAUAAAAUAAAGGUAUGUUCA